rnacentral:rRNA from 1 species
CCCUUAGAUGUUCUGGGCCGCACGCGCGCUACACUGUUUGAUUCAGCGAGUCUUAACCUUGACCGAAAGGUUUGGGUAAUCUUCUAAAGUCAAACGUGAUGGGGAUCGAUCAUUGUAAUUAUUGAUCGUGAACGAGGAAUUCCUAGUAAAUGCAAGUCAUCAGCUUGCGUUGAUUACGUCCCUGCCCUUUGUACACACCGCCCGUCGCUACUACCGAUUGAAUGGUUUAGUGAGAUCUCCGGAUUGGCUCUGUAGGUCCCGCAAGGGAUUUAUUAGUAGCCAAGAAGCUGCUCAAACUUGAUCAUUUAGAGGAAGUAAAAGUCGUAACA